rnacentral:rRNA from 1 species
GCCAGACUCCUACGGGAGGCAGCAGUGAGGAAUAUUGGUCAAUGGGCGGAAGCCUGAACCAGCCAAGUCGCGUGAGGGAAUAAGGCCCUACGGGUCGUAAACCUCUUUUGCCGGGGAGCAAGCGUGCGUUCGUGAACGCGCGUCGAGAGUACCCGGAGAAAAAGCAUCGGCUAACUCCGUGCCAGCAGCCGCGGUAAUACGGAGGAUGCGAGCGUUAUCCGGAUGUAUUGGGUUUAAAGGGUGCGUAGGCGGGAUGCCAAGUCAGCGGUAAAAAUGCGGUGCUCAACGCCGUCGAGCCGUUGAAACUGGCGUUCUUGAGUGGGCGAGAAGUAUGCGGAAUGCGUGGUGUAGCGGUGAAAUGCAUAGAUAUCACGCAGAACUCCGAUUGCGAAGGCAGCAUACCGGCGCCCUACUGACGCUGAGGCACGAAAGCGUGGGUAUCGAACAGGAUUAGAUACCCCUGUA